rnacentral:rRNA from 1 species
GACGAACGCUGGCGGCGUGCCUAAUACAUGCAAGUCGAACGCUGAAGAGAGGAGCUUGCUCUUCUUGGAUGAGUUGCGAACGGGUGAGUAACGCGUAGGUAACCUGCCUUGUAGCGGGGGAUAACUAUUGGAAACGAUAGCUAAUACCGCAUAACAAUGGAUGACACAUGUCAUUUAUUUGAAAGGGGCAAUUGCUCCACUACAAGAUGGACCUGCGUUGUAUUAGCUAGUAGGUGAGGUAAUGGCUCACCUAGGCGACGAUACAUAGCCGACCUGAGAGGGUGAUCGGCCACACUGGGACUGAGACAAGGCCCAGACUCCUACGGGAGGCAGCAGUAGGGAAUCUUCGGCAAUGGGGGCAACCCUGACCGAGCAACGCCGCGUGAGUGAAGAAGGGUUUCGGAUCGUAAAGCUCGGUUGUAAGUCAAGAACGGGUGUGAGAGUGGAAAGUUCACACUGUGACGGUAGCUUACCAGAAAGGGACGGCUAACUACGUG